CUACGGGGUGCUCCAGUGAGGAAUAUUGCACAAUGGGGGGAACCCUGAUGCAGCAACGCCGCGUGGAGGAUGACGCAUUUCGGUGUGUAAACUCCUUUUAUAUGUCAAGAAAAUGACGGUAGCAUAUGAAUAAGCACCGGCUAACUCCGUGCCAGCAGCCGCGGUGAAUACGGAGGGUGCAAGCGUUACUCGGAAUCACUGGGCGUAAAGGACGCGUAGGCGGGUUGGAAAGUCAGGUGUGAAAUCCUACAGCUUAACUGUAGAACUGCACUUGAAACUUCUAAUCUAGAGUAUGGGAGGGGGAGAUGGAAUUAGUGGUGUAGGGGUAAAAUCCGUAGAUAUCACUAGGAAUACCUAAAGCGAAGGCGAUCUCCUGGAACAUUACUGACGCUAAGGCGUGAAAGCGUGGGGAGCAAACAGGAUUAGAUACCCGCGUAGUC
rnacentral:rRNA from 1 species